AGUAAAUAGAUACCCAGGUAGUCCUAGCCGUAAACGAUACUCGCUAGGUGUCGGCCACGGUGCGACCGUUGUCGGUGCCGUAGGGAAAGCCGUGAAGCGAGCCACCUGGGAAGUACGGCCGCAAGGCUGAAACUUAAAGGAAUUGGCGGGGGAGCACCACAACGGGUGGAGCUUGCGGUUUAAUUGGAUUCAACGCCGGAAAUCUUACCGGGACCGACAGCAAUAUGAAGGCCAGGCUGAAGACUUUGCCGGAUUAGCUGAGAGGUGGUGCAUGGCUGUCGUCAGUUCGUACUGUGAAGCAUCCUGUUAAGUCAGGCAACGAGCGAGACCCACGCCCACAGUUGCCAGCGUACUCUCCGGAGUGACGGGUACACUGUGGGGACCGCCGCUGCUAAAGCGGAGGAAGGAAUGGGCAACGGUAGGUCAGUAUGCCCCGAAUAUCCCGGGCUACACGCGAGCUACAAUGGUUGGUACAAUGGGUAUCUACCCCGAAAGGGGAUGGAAAUCUCCUAAAGCCAAUCUUAGUUCGGAUUGAGGGCUGCAACUCGCCCUC
rnacentral:rRNA from 1 species